GGGCAAUUGGAGGAACCAAACACCUUGCCCUUUGGCAGGUUUGAUGGGAUCCUCCAAGGAGGAGGGGGAGAGAGAGAGAGAGAGAGAGAGAGAGAGAGAGGUNNNNNNNNNNNNNNNNNNNNGAGAGAGAGAGAGGUUGGGUUGGGGUGGUUUGGUGUCUCUGGUUGUUUAUCUGAGUAUGAGGCCAUAAACUCCUGAGCUCCUUCCCAGCCGGUAUGGAGAAAUCGCUUGGCUAAAGAUAGACCGACCCUGAGACGGGUGAGGAAUUUUGUGUCUUAUUCUCCGGACGUAGGCUGUGGAUGUUAUGAAGGUGCUAUCUUUGGUACGUCACGGCUCAUGAGCGAUAGUUGUAUUGAAACUAUGGCUCGUGAGCCUUAGAUGCAACGAGAGCUUUGCAAGGAGAAAUCCGCGCAAACUCGUUGAGAUCUAACCAGCCUCGAGCGUGCACGACAAGAAGUGCUUCCAUUUAUAUGGCUGUUAACCACGUUGGUGGCUGAACCUCAAACUACUAGCCUACUAGGAGUAUAUGUUAUAAAUUAUCGUGCAUUAUUCUGAGGACAUUAUUGUUCCUUUUUUUUUGUUCCUAUAUCGUGAAAGCUACAUUUUUUUGGUGCUAUCACCACAUGAAUAUUUUAGUUCUCCCUCAUUAUAUCCUGAGGACAAUAUUGUUCCUUUUCCUAUGUUCUUAUAUCUGAAAGCUAUAUAUUUUUGGUGCUAUUCCCACAUGAAUAUUUUAGUUCUCCCUCAUUAUAUCCUGUGGACAUUAUUGUUUCUUUUCCUAUGUUCUUAUAUCUUGAAAGCUAUUAGUUCCCCCUCACUCGAA
rnacentral:lncRNA from 1 species